rnacentral:rRNA from 1 species
UACGGGGGGGGCAAGCGUUGUUGCGGAAUUAUUGGGCGUAAAGGGCUCGGUAGGCGGCCAACUAAGUCGGAUGUGAAAUCCCCAAGCUUAACUUGGGAACUGCAUCCGAUACUGGAUGGCUUGAAUACCGGGAGAGGGAUGCAGAAUUCCAGGUGUGAGCGGUGAAAUGCGUAGAUAUCUGGAGGAAUACCGGUGGCGAAGGCGGCAUCCUGGACCGGCAUUGACGCUGAGGAGCGAAAAGCUAGGGGAGCAAACGGGG